rnacentral:snRNA from 1 species
GUGCUUGCUUCUGCAGCAUAUAUACUAAAAUUGGAAUGACACAGAGGAGAUUAACAUCGUCCUUGUGUAAGGAUGGCAUGCAAAUUUGUGAAGCAUUGCAUAUUUUU